GAUGAACGCUGGCGGCGUGUCUAAUACAUGCAAGUCGAGCGAACUGACGAGAAGCUUGCUUCUCUGAUGUUAGCGGCGGACGGGUGAGUAACACGUGGAUAACCUACCUAUAAGACUGGGAUAACUUCGGGAAACCGUAGCUAAUACCGGAUAAUAUUUUGAACCGCAUGGUUCAAUAGUGAAAGACGGUCUUGCUGUCACUUAUAGAUGGAUCCGCGCUGCAUUAGCUAGUUGGUAAGGUAACGGCUUACCAAGGCAACGAUGCAUAGCCGACCUGAGAGGGUGAUCGGCCACACUGGAACUGAGACACGGUCCAGACUCCUACGGGAGGCAGCAGUAGGGAAUCUUCCGCAAUGGGCGAAAGCCUGACGGAGCAAAGCCGCGUGAGUGAUGAAGGUAUUCGGAUCGUAAAACUCUGUUAUUAGGGAAGAACAAAUGUGUAAGUAACUGUGCACAUCUUGACGGUACCUAAUCAGAAAGCCACGGCUAACUACGUG
rnacentral:rRNA from 1 species